rnacentral:rRNA from 1 species
AUUGAACGCUGGCGGCAUGCUUUACACAUGCAAGUCGGACGAGUGGCGAACGGGUGAGUAACAUAUCGGAACGUCCCGUGUAAUGGGGGAUACCUCAUCGAAAGCUUAGCUAAUACCGCAUAUUAUUCGAGCGGCCGAUAUGUGAUUAGCUGGUUGUUGGGGUAAAGGCCUACCAAGGCGACGAUCAGUAGCGGGUCUGAGAGGAUGAUCGGCCACACUGGGACGGAGACACGGCCCAGACUCGUACGGGGGGCAGCUGUGGGGAAUUUGGGACACUGGGGGCAAGCCUGAUCCAGCGAUGCCGCGUGUGCGAAGAGGGCCUUCGGGUUGGAAAGGAGUUGUGUCGGGGAAGCGGUACCUGAAGAAUAAGCACCGGCUAACUACGUGCCAGCCGCCGCGGUAAUAC